AUACGGAGGAUGCGAGCGUUAUCCGGAUUUAUUGGGUUUAAAGGGAGCGUAGGCGGGAGCUUAAGUCAGCGGUUAAAUGGUGCGGCUCAACCGUGCCCUGCCGUUGAAACUGGGUUUCUUGAGAGUGCAAGAGGCGGAUGGAAUUCAUGGGGUAGGGGGUAAAUGCUUAGAUAUCAUGAAGAACUCCGAUUGCGAAGGCAGUCCGCUGGGGCACGUCUGACGCUGAUGCUCGAAGGUGCGGGAAUCAAACAGGAUUAGAUACCCUGGUAGUCCGCACGGUAAACGAUGAUUACCCGCUGUCGGCGGUAGACAGUCGGCGGCCAAGCGAAAGCGAUAAGUAAUCCACCUGGGGAGUACGCCGGCAACGGUGAAACUCAAAGGAAUUGACGGGG
rnacentral:rRNA from 1 species